UACAGAGGCCUCAAGCGUUGUUCGGAAUCACUGGGCGUAAAGCGUGCGCAGGCGGUUAUGCAAGACAGAUGUGAAAUCCCCGGGCUCAACCUGGGAACUGCAUUUGUGACUGCAUGACUUGAGUACGGUAGAGGGGGAUGGAAUUCCGCGUGUAGCAGUGAAAUGCGUAGAUAUGCGGAGGAACACCGAUGGCGAAGGCAAUCCCCUGGACCUGUACUGACGCUCAUGCACGAAAGCGUGGGGAGCAAACAGG
rnacentral:rRNA from 1 species